AUGGACGCACAUUCGCGCGAAAGACGCGCUAGCGUGUUGAUCUGUGUGUUCUCGCGUUUGCUUUCAGUCCGAAAAUAAGUUUCGAAACGCCAGUGAUAAUCUCUCAUUUUCUGGAAAUAUUUAUGAAUCUUUACUGGUCUCAAUUUUUUUUUGGUUUUACUACACUACUCUUUAUUUCCUUGUCUUGUUUUCACCGGCCCUGAAAGUGCUCAUUGCGCGAGUGUCGGUAUCGAUCGGCGCGGCUUAUGUUUUCUUGUGAGUGCGAGUGGCAUUCAGUGCGUGUUUGCGGGGGGCACGCGAAAACCACCCUCUUUAUGAGGAAAUUUCGUUUCAUCCCCUCCACUAGUUAUCCGACAGCCUGUUGAUUCACCUUACGGUUUAUGCCAAAAUAUGGUUGCGUAGUGCGCGCUGUUGCUUCUCGCUUCUCUUAUAGGCUGUGACUGUACUGUGUCCAUGAUAAGAAACAACUAGGCCCGUUCCCCGUUGCCGGCCCACAACCGGUAUCUUGAAUUCCGUUGGAUCACGCGACCAGAGUACCGUUGCGAGGAGGGAUUUGGUCUGAGCAGAUGAUGAGUGGGUUUUAGUGUUUUCCUCGAUUUCCCCCAAUUGGGUCAGAUUUAUACGCCUGGGUGAAGUGAAGAACAAGGGAGUAUCAUGGAGUUUUACGACGUGGGAACGAGCGACCUGAGGGAGCUCUGGGAUACCUAUCUUGUCGAACCGGGCCGAAUACUAGCUGCGCUAACACCUGCACACAAGAAGUGCUCCACACGCAUCUGGUUUGACAAGAAGAAGGUCGGCGUCAUUAUUCACCUGUACAUUGUACAAUCUCUGUUUUUAUCAAAAAGAAUAAUAGUUUUACAAGCAUUCUGAAUACAAUAUUGUAAACUUAAUUCAAUUCUAAUUGAUUGCAGUUAUGUUGUAGGUUAUUUUCAAUUUUGUCAUUAAAUUAUCUUCAAUAUUUUAAAAAGAAGUUUCGUUGCCUUGUUCAGAAAAGCAUAUGUCUAUUAUGAACAUUUUUCCAGAAUCUAUGGAUCUCUGUCCAAAAUAGUAUAAUCCAUUUUUCUCAGUAC